UACAGGGGGUGCAAACGUUGCUCGGAAUCAUUGGGCGUAAAGCGCACGUAGGCGGUUCGUUAUGUCGGAUGUGAAAGCCCUUGGCUUAACCGAGGAAGUGCAUCCGAAACUGGCGAGCUAGAGUACGAAAGAGGAUCGCGGAAUUCCCGGUGUAGAGGUGAAAUGCGUAGAGAUCCGGAGGAACACCAAAGGCGAAGGCAGUGUCCUGGGGAGUACCUGACGCUCAGGUGCGAAAGCCAGGGGAGCGAACGGG
rnacentral:rRNA from 1 species